rnacentral:rRNA from 1 species
GACGAACGCUGGCGGCGUGCUUAACACAUGCAAGUCGAGCGGUAAGGCCCUUUCGGGGGUACCCGAGCGGCGAACGGGUGAGUAACACGUGGGUGACCUGCCCUCAGCUCUGGGAUAAGCCUGGGAAACCGGGUCUAAUACUGGAUAUGACUCCAUGACGCAUGUUGUGGGGUGGAAAGCCUUGUGCGGCUGAGGAUGGGCCCGCGGCCUAUCAGCUUGUUGGUGGGGUGAUGGCCUACCAAGGCGACGACGGGUAGCCGGCCUGAGAGGGCGACCGGCCACACUGGGACUGAGACACGGCCCAGGCUCCUACGGGAGGCAGCAGUGGGGAAUCUUGCGCAAUGGGCGAAAGCCUGACGCAGCGACGCCGCGUGAGGGAUGAC